rnacentral:rRNA from 1 species
UACGGAGGGAGCUAGCGUUGUUCGGAAUUACUGGGCGUAAAGCGCACGUAGGCGGCUUGUCACGUCGGGUGUGAAAGCCCGGGGCUUAACCCCGGGUCUGCAUUCGAUACGGGCUAGCUAGAGUGUGGUAGGGGAGAUCGGAAUUCCUGGUGUAGCGGUGAAAUGCGCAGAUAUCAGGAGGAACACCGGUGGCGAAGGCGGAUCUCUGGGCCAUUACUGACGCUGAGGAGCGAAAGCGUGGGGAGCGAACAGG